UCCAGCUCUGUACCUGGGUGCAGGGGUAGGAUCUGGGCUCCUUGUGCUGCUGUUACUGUUGAUAGGAGGAGUGCUGAAGUGUCUGCAAUCCAAACGAGACCCUGCUGUCCAGAUUGAACCUAUGUAUGCCACAGUGAAUAAGUCCAAGCAGCCUUCAAAGCAACCGGACGACACCCUCACCUACUCAGAAAUAAACACUGCCCGUGUCACCAAGAAGAAACCCAGAUCUGCACCUGAAGACAAUAUAACAUACGCAACAGUUAAAACUGCCAGAUACUGAGAACCA